CCUACGGGAGGCAGCAGUGGGGAAUUUUGGACAAUGGGGGCAACCCUGAUCCAGCCAUUCCGCGUGAGUGAAGAAGGCCUUCGGGUUGUAAAGCUCUUUCGCAAGGGAAGAAAACUUAUGAUCGAAUAAAUCAUGAGGUUGACGGUACCUUGAUAAGAAGCACCGGCUAACUACGUGCCAGCAGCCGCGGUAAUACGUAGGGUGCGAGCGUUAAUCGGAAUUACUGGGCGUAAAGCGUGCGCAGGCGGUUUUGUAAGUCGGAUGUGAAAUCCCCGGGCUCAACCUGGGAACUGCGUUCGAAACUGCAAGGCUAGAGUGUGUCAGAGGGGGGUAGAAUUCCACGUGUAGCAGUGAAAUGCGUAGAGAUGUGGAGGAAUACCAAUGGCGAAGGCAGCCCCCUGGGAUAACACUGACGCUCAUGCACGAAAGCGUGGGGAGCAAACAGGAUUAGAUACCCUGGUAGUCCACGCCCUAAACGAUGUCAACUAGUUGUUGGUAGAGUAAAUCUAUGAGUAACGUAGCUAACGCGUGAAGUUGACCGCCGUGGGGAGGUACGGUCGCGAAGAAGUUAAAACGUUAAAAGUAAAGUUAGUACGGCGUGAGACGUGCCGACGGACGACGACGAGGGAGGUUAGG
rnacentral:rRNA from 1 species